CAGAGAAUAGUUUUAAAAAAAAAUAUUAAUUUUGGAGAUUAAAGAUGAAGACUUACUUUUUCUCUGA
rnacentral:tRNA from 1 species